AAAACAAACCUACGGGAGGCAGCAGUGGGGAAUAUUGCACAAUGGGGGAAACCCUGAUGCAGCAACGCCGCGUGAGUGAUGACGGUCUUCGGAUUGUAAAGCUCUGUCUUCAGGGACGAUAAUGACGGUACCUGAGGAGGAAGCCACGGCUAACUACGUGCCAGCAGCCGCGGUAAUACGUAGGUGGCAAGCGUUGUCCGGAUUUACUGGGCGUAAAGGGAGCGUAGGUGGAUAUUUAAGUGGGAUGUGAAAUACUCGGGCUUAACCUGGGUGCUGCAUUCCAAACUGGAUAUCUAGAGUGCAGGAGAGGAAAGUAGAAUUCCUAGUGUAGCGGUGAAAU
rnacentral:rRNA from 1 species